UCUCUCUUUUACUUUCCCUCCACCAACUGUAUUUCUUUACACGCCUAUUCGAAUUCCUCUUUCUUUUCCCGGAAAGCACUUUUACGCGUCAAAAAACCGUGGUUGCUUCACAUUCCCUCCCACAAUAAAACAGGAAAAUUCGAGAAAAAAAGGGCCAGAGAGAAAGAGAUCGAAUUCUCAGAUGGGUUUAGCCUCUCUUUGGUCUGGGCUGCCCUCUGUAUGCCUCGAUUCGGGCAAUCGAGAACAAUUCCAGCUCGGAGAUGCGAAAUGUGGUGGCAUAUUGGAUUCUUUUCUCUCUGGUUUCUCUCUUUGAGCUUGCUUUUGUGAAACUUACUGACUGGUAAUUAAGUCUGCUCCAUUG